rnacentral:lncRNA from 1 species
UUCAAAGAUGUGAAUUUUAUGUAAUUGUUGAGCAGUGUGAGCCACCCCUGAAACACUCAGGAAAUUUCCUGUCUUACCAAGAUCUAGUCAAGUCAUGUUCAGUGGCACUGGUCCCAUAAUGCUCCACCAUGGUCACCUUCCACUGGUCAGCCUCAAGAGUGGUGUGCAAAUCCUCAUGGUGUCCUCUGGAUGUGCAGUACCGUGCCAACCAAACUUGUCCCAACAGAGAAGGAGCCAGGGGCAACGACUUUGGGAAGGACAUCUUAGGAGACAAGACAUUUCUGGCAUCCCUAAAAUACAUGCAGGUGUAUGGUUAGUCUUGUGGUCCCAGACACACGAAAUCUCUUUUUUCAUCUGUAUAGUAACGUUGUAGUGGUUAAGCUUCUGUUUCAAUCUCUGUAUCUGUUGUUUUCUUUUACAAGAGAUGAGUAAAUUCCAGAAACCUGCUGUACAACAUUGUAUCUAUAGUUAACGAUACUGUAUUAUGUGCUUAAAAAUUACUUGAGAGGGUAGAUCUCCCAUUAAGUAUCUUUACCAUUGCUGGGGAAGAGGGGAGAAGAAACUGUAGGAAUUUGAAUUGAACCCUUUGCUCAAAUUGUAAACGGCAACUGCUGUGCUUCAAUCAUUUAUAAUCAGGGAAAUUAGAGGCUUGAGGAUUUUAAAUUUUUUUUUACUUUCUAUUAAUAUACACAGUUCUCAAAAUUCUCCUUCCUGUUUUUCUCCAUGUCCUUUAUAAUUUCUUCCCUGGUAUUAGUUUAUAAAAAUUCAUUCUCCAAGCUAUUUUAUACAUAUCAGUAAAUCUUUUUUUCUUAAAUGGAAAGGCAAAACACUAAUUUUAGUAGAACAGCAGGUCCAUCACAAGUCCAUAAUCACAAUAACAGCCAACAUAAUCCUACUGAAGACCAACAUAGUUAGAAGACACAUUGUCUGAUUUCAAUAAUAGUACACUCAUUAAGGCACAUGGCAUUGGCAACAGAAUAGAUGCAGAGAUCAAUAAAAUAGAAUAGAGAACCCA